UGAGACACGGCCCAGACUCCUACGGGAGGCAGCAGUAGGGAAUCUUCCGCAAUGGACGAAAGUCUGACGGAGCAACGCCGCGUGAGUGAUGAAGGUUUUCGGAUCGUAAAGCUCUGUUGUUAGGGAAGAACAAGUACCGUUCGAAUAGGGCGGUACCUUGACGGUACCUAACCAGAAAGCCACGGCUAACUACGUGCCAGCAGCCGCGGUAAUACGUAGGUGGCAAGCGUUGUCCGGAAUUAUUGGGCGUAAAGGGCUCGCAGGCGGUUCCUUAAGUCUGAUGUGAAAGCCCCCGGCUCAACCGGGGAGGGUCAUUGGAAACUGGGGAACUUGAGUGCAGAAGAGGAGAGUGGAAUUCCACGUGUAGCGGUGAAAUGCGUAGAGAUGUGGAGGAACACCAGUGGCGAAGGCGACUCUCUGGUCUGUAACUGACGCUGAGGAGCGAAAGCGUGGGGAGCGAACAGGAUUAGAUACCCUGGUAGUCCACGCCGUAAACGAUGAGUGCUAAGUGUUAGGGGGUUUCCGCCCCUUAGUGCUGCAGCUAACGCAUUAAGCACUCCGCCUGGGGAGUACGGUCGCAAGACUGAAACUCAAAGGAAUUGACGGGGGCCCGCACAAGCGGUGGAGCAUGUGGUUUAAUUCGAAGCAACGCGAAGAACCUUACCAGGUCUUGACAUCCUCUGACAAUCCUAGAGAUAGGACGUCCCCUUCGGGGGCAGAGUGACAGGUGGUGCAUGGUUGUCGUCAGCUCGUGUCGUGAGAUGUUGGGUUAAGUCCCGCAACGAGCGCAACCCUUGAUCUUAGUUGCCAGCAUUCAGUUGGGCACUCUAAGGUGACUGCCGGUGACAAACCGGAGGAAGGUGGGGAUGACGUCAAAUCAUCAU
rnacentral:rRNA from 1 species